UAGUGCCACUCUUUGUAGCAACCAAAACUGGCAUUCGAACGGGUCUGGCGGUGUUUUGAUUUUAUUUUAAUUUCGGCUGUAUUUUACUUAUUAGUGUAUUAAAGUGCCACAUAGUGCGCGAAAUAUUGUAGUUUGGGUAGGUUUAUCCGUUCUGGAGUUGUUUCGCGCCUACUGUAGAAAUGGUCGCGCUUACGUCACAUCUGCUGCGCAUGAACAUUGUUUACAUCUAUGCUUAUUACCACCAGGAUUUUGUAUUGAACCGACCUUAGCGAACUGUGUAUUACCCAGCGUUUUCUUAUCUUAAUCCUAAUACUGUACAGUCGGUGGUAGUUGGUAGUUGGUCGUGGCGUAAUAUAUGUUCGGAUAAAUGUGAAAAGGGUCAGUCAUUGAAAUGUCACAUUUUUUAAUUAUUGUUCACCUUAGAGUUAUAAUGGUUGCGUGUUGUCCGUGGUGAACAGGUAUUUAGUGUAAAUGAAACGACUGAAGUCAUACCGGUAAUUUUAGCCAUGACACCUCCAAAUAUUGUUUUGCUUGCAUGUGGUGCAUAUAAUCCACCGACGAAUAUGCAUCUCCGAAUGUUUGAAAUUGCUCGGGACCAUCUGCAGAGGCUUGGUUACCAUAAUGUAAUAGGUGGAAUUGUAUCACCAGUUCAUGAUUCAUAUGGUAAGAAAGAGCUGGUGUCAGCAACACAUCGCUGUGAAAUGCUCCGCUUAGCACUCCAAGAUUCCAGUUGGCUCCGUUUAUCAGAUUGGGAGUGUCAUCAAGAAGGGUGGACAAGAACUAGGCUUGUACUUCAAUAUCAUCAGAACCAUUUAAAUUCAAUAUUGAAUUCCAAUAAUGAGUCUCCUAACAAACGGCAACGCCGUGAUGAUUUUUUGUGGAUACCAGAUGAUGUCAAGUUCUGUUCUGGUGGACCAGUCCAGGUUAAACUGUUAUGUGGUGCAGACUUACUGGAAUCUUUUGGAAUUCCUGGACUUUGGAAAGAUGAUGAUAUUGACACGAUCGUGGGUCAACAUGGCUUGGUAGUUAUCACAAGAGAAGGGAACAAUCCAAAUAAAUUCAUCUAUGAGUCAGAUUUGCUUACAAAAUAUCAGAAUAAUAUAAACAUUGUGACUGAAUGGAUAAUAAAUGAGGUGAGCUCUACAAAAGUUCGGCGAGCCUUGAGACGUUCUGAGAGUGUCAAAUAUCUACUUCAAGAGUCUGUUAUUGAUUACAUCCGCAAGCAUGGAUUGUACGGCACCAAGGAUAAGGCUGAGCAGACCUGCAUGCCUACUGUAAGAGAUCUGGUUCUUCUCAUUGGAAAAUGUAGUCGACCCCUGAGCAAGCCUGCCAUUGUCGCUUCUUCUUUGCCUGCUGUAGUGUGAUGAUAUUCUUACCAUUUGAUGGACAGUGUUCUUAACACCCAGUCAUAUAUUAAUUAUUAAUAUCACAUCCAAACUUGUGCUUAGACAAUGCUAUAGUCAUGCAGGAUAUAUGAAACAAGUUUUAUAAUAAUAAGUUUGUGUUCUUCAAGAGUAAAGGUCUGAUCUGAUUUUAUGUGGUAAUUGCAUUCUUGGGAAGAAAUAUGUAAUGCAAAAAUACUUUAAGAGUUUUCAUAAACUCAUAAACUGAGUUUUUUUAUCAGUGGUAAGCUUGGCGAUUAAUAUUUUCUGGUAAUAAUACAGAUAAGAUAACAUAAAUAUGACAUUAAUGAGUUAACAGUGGAAUGUAUUAAUUAUUUUCUGUAUUUGUACUUACAAAGGCCAUAAUAAUAGGCUUAAGUUAUAGAGGUUGGGGGGUUUAUGAGUUUAAUUUGAAAAGAUGAAGGCACCGUCAACAAAUUAUUUCUGACUCUUAUUCAUUGACUGUGCAUUGUAAGUUUGAGGGAGUUGAAGUUUGAUUUUGUAAUUUAGUGGUUUCCUCAGAAGGAACCUCAUAUAUCAUAUUCUUCUUCCUGAGAUAUUUCCAUUUUACGUGGAUCAUAAAAACCGCUUGUGUGGCACGUAAAUACGGGACGUUACUGAAGAUGCACAAAUUGAAGUAUGUGCAUGGUCUUAAGAGCAAAUAUAUGCCACAUUAGUAAGACUGAGAAGAGAAUAAAAUUGAAUGUUUCAUUAGACAACAAGUUAAAUCCUUUUUGACCAUAAAAUAAAGUAAUGACAAAAUUAUGCUUAUCACUAACAAUUUUAUGUGGCACCAUACAAAUAAUUGGAACAUAACUUGGUCAAAUCCUGAACUUUAGCAGGAUACACUAAAUUACAAAAUGUUAAUACUUUGAAAGGUUAAAAUAUUCUGUGUUGUAAAUCUGGUAUCAUGCCAGGUAGGUUUAAUACUGAAAAUAUGAUACUUCAAAGAAAACAUACACUAGAACAUGUUUACAACUGAAAUCAAGGGAACUUUAACACUUUUCCAUUUCAGACAAGGUUUCUGCUUAGCACAGGUACUUAUUCCUACAAAAAAUAUUGCGUAAUACAUCGUGGUUUCACACGAUAGAAGUCACAGUUCAGAUAUUACUACAAUGUUAGUGAGAAAUUCACAUUUUCAGUUUCUUAUUCUCUUCUUUUUGACUAAUGUCCUAUUUUUACGAGUUUGAUGAGUUCUGCACAUAUUUUUUCAACGUUUGGGUCUCAUUUAUAACAAUAAAUUCCAGGAUUACAAUUACAA